GGGGAAUUUUGGACAAUGGGCGCAAGCCUGAUCCAGCAAUGCCGCGUGCAGGAUGAAGGCCUUCGGGUUGUAAACUGCUUUUGUACGGAACGAAAAGACUCUCUCUAAUACAGGGGGGUGAUGACGGUACCGUAAGAAUAAGCACCGGCUAACUCCGUGCCAGCAGCCGCGGUAAUACGGAGGGUGCAAGCGUUAAUCGGAAUCACUGGGCGUAAAGCGCGCGUAGGCCGUCUUUUAAGUCGGACGUGAAAGCCCUCGGCUCAACCGGGGAACUGCGUUCGAAACUGGGAGACUUGAGUCCUGGAGAGGCUGGCGGAAUUCCGGGUGUACGAGUGAAAUCCGUAGAUAUCCGGAGGAACACCGGUGGCGAAGGCGGCCACCUGGACAGGUACUGACGCUGCGGCGCGAAAGCGUGGGGAGCAAACA
rnacentral:rRNA from 1 species